rnacentral:rRNA from 1 species
GUGCCAGCAGCCGCGGUAAUACGAAGGGUGCAAGCGUUACUCGGAAUUACUGGGCGUAAAGCGUGCGUAGGUGGUUUGUUAAGUCUGAUGUGAAAGCCCUGGGCUCAACCUGGGAAUGGCAUUGGAUACUGGCGAGCUAGAGUGCGGUAGAGGGUAGUGGAAUUCCCGGUGUAGCAGUGAAAUGCGUAGAGAUCGGGAGGAACAUCUGUGGCGAAGGCGACUACCUGGACCAGCACUGACACUGAGGCACGAAAGCGUGGGGAGCAAACAGGAUUAGAAACCCCCGUAGUCC